rnacentral:rRNA from 1 species
AAGACAUUGUGUCUUCGAGUCGUUGAUUUCACACUGCCGAGAAAAGCCUCUAGAUAGAAAAUAGGUGCCCGUACCGCAAACCGACACAGGUAGUCAAGAUGAGAAUUCUAAGGUGAGCGAGCGAACUCUCGUUAAGGAACUCGGCAAAAUGACCCCGUAACUUCGGGAGAAGGGGUGCUCUUUAGGGUUAACGCCCAGAAGAGCCGCAGUGAAUAGGCCCAAGCGACUGUUUAUCAAAAACACAGGUCUCUGCUAAACCGUAAGGUGAUGUAUAGGGGCUGACGCCUGCCCGGUGCUGGAAGGUUAAGAGGAGUGGUUAGCUUCUGCGAAGCUACGAAUCGAAGCCCCAGUAAACGGCGGCCGUAACUAUAACGGUCCUAAGGUAGCGAAAUUCCUUGUCGGGUAAGUUCCGACCCGCACGAAAGGCGUAACGAUUUGGGCACUGUCUCAACGAGAGACUCGGUGAAAUCAUAGUACCUGUGAAGAUGCAGGUUACCCGCGACAGGACGGAAAGACCCCGUGGAGCUUUACUGUAGCCUGAUAUUGAAAUUCGGCACAGCUUGUACAGGAUAGGUAGGAGCCUUUGAAACGUGAGCGCUAGCUUACGUGGAGGCGCUGGUGGGAUACUACCCUAGCUGUGUUGGCUUUCUAACCCGCACCACUUAUCGUGGUGGGAGACAGUGUCAGGCGGGCAGUUUGACUGGGGCGGUCGCCUCCUAAAAGGUAACGGAGGCGCUCAAAGGUUCCCUCAGAAUGGUUGGAAAUCAUUCAUAGAGUGUAAAGGCAUAAGGGAGCUUGACUGCGAGACCUACAAGUCGAGCAGGGUCGAAAGACGGACUUAGUGAUCCGGUGGUUCCGCAUGGAAGGGCCAUCGCUCAACGGAUAAAAGCUACCCCGGGGAUAACAGGCUUAUCUCCCCCAAGAGUUCACAUCGACGGGGAGGUUUGGCACCUCGAUGUCGGCUCAUCGCAUCCUGGGGCUGUAGUCGGUCCCAAGGGUUGGGCUGUUCGCCCAUUAAAGCGGUACGCGAGCUGGGUUCAGAACGUCGUGAGACAGUUCGGUCCCUAUCCGUCGUGGGCGUAGGAAAUUUGAGAGGAGCUGUCCUUAGUACGAGAGGACCGGGAUGGACAUACCUCUGGUGUACCAGUUGUCGUGCCAACGGCAUAGCUGGGUAGCUAUGUGUGGACGGGAUAAGUGCUGAAAGCAUCUAAGCAUGAAGCCCCCCUCAAGAUGAGAUUUCCCAACUUCGGUUAUAAGAUCCCUCAA